rnacentral:rRNA from 1 species
ACUUUCAACAACGGAUCUCUUGGUUCCGGCAUCGAUGAAGAACGCAGCGAAAUGCGAUAAGUAAUGUGAAUUGCAGAAUUCAGUGAAUCAUCGAAUCUUUGAACGCACAUUGCGCCCCCUGGUAUUCCGGGGGCAUGCCUGUCCGAGCGUCAUUACUGCCCCUCAAGCGCGGCUUGUGUGUUGGGCCGCCGUCCCCUGCGCCUCCGGGCAAGGGGGACGGGCCCGAAAGGCAGUGGCGGCGCCGCGUCCGGUCCUCGAGCGUAUGGGGCUUUGUCACCCGCUCAGUAGGUCGGGCCGGGGCCUUUGCCCUCUCCAACCUUUUUUUUCCUUAGGUUGACCUCGGAUCAGGUAGGGAUACCCGCUGAACUUAAGCAUAUCAAUAAGCGGAGGAAAAGAAACCAACCGGGAUUGCCUCAGUAACGGCGAGUGAAGCGGCAAGAGCUCAAAUUUGAAAGCUGGCCCCUCCGGGGUCCGCAUUGUAAUUUGCAGAGGAUGCUUCGGGCUCAGCCCCCGUCUAAGUGCCCUGGAACGGGCCGUCGGAGAGGGUGAGAAUCCCGUCUGGGACGGGGUGCCUGGGUCCAUGUGAAGCUCCUUCGACGAGUCGAGUUGUUUGGGAAUGCAGCUCUAAAUGGGUGGUAAAUUUCAUCUAAAGCUAAAUACUGGCCGGAGACCGAUAGCGCACAAGUAGAGUGAUCGAAAGAUGAAAAGCACUUUGAAAAGAGAGUUAAACAGCACGUGAAAUUGUUGAAAGGGAAGCGCUUGCGAUCAGACUCGCCUGCGGGGUUCAGCCGGCAUUCGUGCCGGUGUACUUCCCCGUGGGCGGGCCAGCGUCGGUUCGGGUGGCCGGUCAAAGGCCCCGGGAAUGUGUCGCCCUCCGGGGCGUCUUAUAGCCCGGGUGCCAUGCGGCCUACCUGGACCGAGGAACGCGCUUCGGCUCGGACGCUGGCGUAAUGGUCGUAAGCGACCCGUCUUGAAACACGGACCAAGGAGUCUAACAUCUACGCGAGUGUUUGGGUGGCAAACCCAUACGCGCAGUGAAAGCGAACGGAGGUGGGAACCCUUCGGGGCGCACCAUCGACCGAUCCUGAUGUCUUCGGAUGGAUUUGAGUAAGAGCGUAGCUGUGGGGACCCGAAAGAUGGUGAACUAUGCCUGAAUAGGGCGAAGCCAGAGGAAACUCUGGUGGAGGCUCGCAGCGGUUCUGACGUGCAAAUCGAUCGUCAAAUUUGGGUAGGGGCGAAAGACUAAUCGAACCAUCUGGUAGCUGGUUCCUGCCGAAGUUUCCCUCAGGAUAGCAGUAACGCAAUUUCAGUUUUAUGGGGUAAAGCGAAUGAUUAGAGGCCUUGGGGUUGAAACAACCUUAACCUAUUCUCAAACUUUAAAUAUGUAAGAAGCCCUUGUUGCUUAAUUGAACGUGGGCGUUAGAAUGUCGCGUUACUAGUGGGCCAUUUUGGUAAGCAGAACUGGCGAUGCGGGAUGAACCGAACGCGAGGUUAAGGUGCCGGAAUGCACGCUCAUCAGACACCACAAAAGGUGUUAGUUCAUCUAGACAGCCCGACGGUGGCCAUGGAAGUCGGAAUCCGCUAAGGAGUGUGUAACAACUCACGGGCCGAAUGAACUAGCCCUGAAAAUGGAUGGCGCUCAAGCGUGUUACCUAUACCUCGCCGCCGGGGUAGAAACGACGCCCCGGCGAGUAGGCAGGCGUGGGGGUCCGUGACGAAGCCCUGGGUGAUCCCGGGUCGAACGGCCCCUAGUGCAGAUCUUGGUGGUAGUAGCAAAUACUCAAAUGAGAACUUUGAGGACUGAAGUGGGGAAAGGUUCCAUGUGAACAGCAGUUGGACAUGGGUUAGUCGAUCCUAAGGCAUAGGGAAGUUCCGUUUGAAAGGCGCCCUCGUGCGCCGUGUGCCGAAAGGGAAGCCGGUUAACAUUCCGGCACCUGGAUGUGGAUUCUCCACGGCAACGUAACUGAACGCGGAGACGUCGGCGGGGGUCCUGGGAAGAGUUCUCUUUCUUCUUGACGGCCUAUCACCCUGAAAUCGGUUUGUCCGGAGCUAGGGUUCUAUGGCCGGCAGAGCCCCGCACCUUUGCGGGGUCCGGUGCGCCCCCGACGACCCUUGAAAAUCCGCGGGAAGGAAUAGUUUUCACGCCAGGUCGUACUCAUAACCGCAGCAGGUCUCCAAGGUGAACAGCCUCUAGUUGAUAGAACAAUGUAGAUAAGGGAAGUCGGCAAAAUGGAUCCGUAACUUCGGGAUAAGGAUUGGCUCUAAGGGUCGGGCCCGCUGGGCCUUGGGGAAACCCCUCGGAGCAGGGGAGCACUAGCCGGGCAACCGGCCGGCGCUCCCCAGCACCGGGUGGGGGACGCCCUUGGCAGGUCUCGGCCGUCCGGCGGGCGCUUAACGACCAACUUAGAACUGGUACGGACAAGGGGAAUCUGACUGUCUAAUUAAAACAUAGCAUUGCGAUGGCCAGAAAGUGGUGUUGACGCAAUGUGAUUUCU